rnacentral:tRNA from 1 species
GAUAAAAUGGCCGAGCGUUCAGGUGGUAGGCUGUAGCCCUACUGAUAGGGGUUAAAGUCCUCUUUUUAUCA